CCUACGGGGGGCAGCAGUGGGGAAUAUUGCACAAUGGAGGGAACUCUGAUGCAGCGACGCCGCGUGAACGAAGAAGGCUUUCGAGUCGUAAAGUUCUUUUAUAUGGGAAGCGGUACCAUAAGAAAAAGCCCCGGCUAACUACGUGCCAGCAGCCGCGGUAAUACGUAGGGGGCUAGCGUUGUCCGGAAUCACUGGGCGUAAAGGGUUCGCAGGCGGAAAUGCAAGUCAGGUGUAAAAGGCAGUAGCUUAACUACUGUAAGCAUUUGAAACUGCAUAUCUUGAGAAGAGUAGAGGUAAGUGGAAUUUUUAGUGUAGCGGUGAAAUGCGUAGAUAUUAAAAAGAAUACCGGUGGCGAAGGCGACUUACUGGGCUCUCUGACGCUGAGGAACGAAAGCGUGGGUAGCAAACAGGAUUAGAUACCCUUGUAGUC
rnacentral:rRNA from 1 species